GUAACAAGGUUUCCGUAGGUGAACCUGCGGAAGGAUCAUUACCGAGUGCGGGUCCUUUGGGCCCAACCUCCCAUCCGUGUCUAUUGUACCCUGUUGCUUCGGCGGGCCCGCCGCUUGUCGGCCGCCGGGGGGGCGCCUCUGCCCCCCGGGCCCGUGCCCGCCGGAGACCCCAACACGAACACUGUCUGAAAGCGUGCAGUCUGAGUUGAUUGAAUGCAAUCAGUUAAAACUUUCAACAAUGGAUCUCUUGGUUCCGGCAUCGAUGAAGAACGCAGCGAAAUGCGAUAACUAAUGUGAAUUGCAGAAUUCAGUGAAUCAUCGAGUCUUUGAACGCACAUUGCGCCCCCUGGUAUUCCGGGGGGCAUGCCUGUCCGAGCGUCAUUGCUGCCCUCAAGCCCGGCUUGUGUGUUGGGUCGCCGUCCCCCUCUCCGGGGGGACGGGCCCGAAAGGCAGCGGCGGCACCGCGUCCGAUCCUCGAGCGUAUGGGGCUUUGUCACAUGCUCUGUAGGAUUGGCCGGCGCCUGCCGACGUUUUCCAACCAUUCUUUCCAGGUUGACCUCGGAUCAGGUAGGGAUACCCGCUGAACUUAAGCAUAUC
rnacentral:misc_RNA from 1 species